rnacentral:rRNA from 1 species
UACGAAGGGGGCUAGCGUUGCUCGGAAUUACUGGGCGUAAAGCGCUCGUAGGUGGAUCGAAAAGUCUGUGAGGAAAUGCCUGGGCUCAACUCAGGAACCCGUGCGGAUACUUUCGAUCUUGAGGCAAUCAGAGGAUGAUGGAAUUCCCGGUGUAGCGGUGAAAUGCGUAGAUAUCGCUUGGAACGCCAAAGGUGAAAACAGGUUGCUGGGGUUGUGCCGACGCUGAGACACGAAAGCCAGGGGAGCAAACGGG